rnacentral:rRNA from 1 species
UACGGGGGGGGCAAGCGUUGUUCGGAAUUACUGGGCGUAAAGGGCGCGUAGGCGGCUUUGUAAGUCGGGGGUGAAAGCCUGUGGCUCAACCACAGAAUUGCCUUCGAUACUGCAUGGCUUGAGUCCGGAAGAGGUAAGUGGAACUGCGAGUGUAGAGGUGAAAUUCGUAGAUAUUCGCAAGAACACCAGUGGCGAAGGCGGCUUACUGGUCCGGUUCUGACGCUGAGGCGCGAAAGCGUGGGGAGCAAACAGG